CAGGUGGUGUCACUGCUCCGUGGGCUAAUGCAUGGUGUCGGUGUUAACCCUACGUGGGAUGUUUACAUUGGUGGAGAUGAGUGAUAGCGGAAGCAAAACCCUCGGUAGAAUAAUUUCAGGUUUCUUCUUUCAGCAAUCAUCAACUCACAUAUAUUAGAAGCAGAUCCCACAACAAAAGCUUAACAUCCCAACCUCAAUCUUUC
rnacentral:lncRNA from 1 species